rnacentral:rRNA from 1 species
UGAGUGGAUGGGAGCAACCUAGUUGUGAGUGCGGAAAGGUAGUGCCAAGAAAAGCUGUCAGAAUGAUGAGAAUUGAGUCCCGGUACCCGAAGCCGACACAGGUAGGCAAGUAGAGAAUACUAAGGGGCGCGAGGUAACUCCCUCCAAGGAACUCGGCAAAAUGACCCCGUAACUUAGGGAGAAGGGGUGCCGCCGAGAGGUGGUCGCAGUGAAGAGGCCCUGGCGACUGUUUAGCAAAAACAUAGGUCUCUGCAAACUCGAAAGAGGAAGUACAGGGGCUGACGCCUGCCCAGUGCCGGAAGGUUAAAGAAGUUGGUCAGGAGAAAUCUGAAGCUGGCGACUGAAGCCCCGGUGAACGGCGGCCGUAACUAUAACGGUCCUAAGGUAGCGAAAUUCCUUGUCGGGUAAGUUCCGACCCGCACGAAAGGCGUAACGAUCUGGGCGCUGUCUCGGAGAGAGGCUCGGCCAAAUAGGAUUGUCUGUGAAGAUACGGACUACCUGCAUUUGGACAGAAAUACCCUAUGAAGCUUUACUGUAGCUUGAAAUUGUGUUCGGGCUUCCUGUGCGCAGGAUAGGUGGGAGGCUAGGAAGGUCUGCUUGUGGGCAGAUUGGAGCCAACCGUGAGAUACCACUCUCAGGAGGCUAGAAUUCUAACUUAAUUAAGGACAGUUUCAGGUGGGCAGUUUGACUGGGGCGGUCGCCUCCAAAAAGGUAACGGAGGCGUACAAAGGUUCCCUCACACUGGUUGGAAAUCAGUGGCAGAGUGCAAAGGCAGAAGGGAGCUUGACUGCGAGACGGACAAGUCGAGCAGGGUGGAAACACGGUCUUAGUGAUCCGACGGUGCUGUGUGGAAGGGCCGUCGCUCAACGGAUAAAAGUUACUCUAGGAUAACAGGCUGAUCUCCCCCAAGAGUUCACAUCGACGGGGAGGUUUGGCACCUCGAUGUCGGCUCAUCGCAACCUGGGGCGGAAGUACGUCCCAAGGGUUGGGCUGUUCGCCCAUUAAAGCGGUACGUGAGCUGGGUUCAGAACGUCGUGAGACAGUUCGGUCCAUAUCCGAUGUAGGCGUGAGAAUGUUGAGAGGAGCCUUCCUUAGUACGAGAGGACCGGGAAGGACGCACCGCUGGGGUACCUGUUAUGAUGCCAAUCGUAAACGCAGGGUAGCCAAGUGCGGAGAGGAUAACCGCUGAAAGCAUCUAAGUGGGAAGCCCACCUCAAGAUGAGUAUUCUGGUGUAAGGUCACGGGGAGACGACCCGUAGAUAGGCACGAGGUGGAAGUGCAGAGAUGUAUGAAGCCGAAGUGUACUAAUAGACCGUCGGC